AGAGUUUGAUCAUGGCUCAGAGUGAACGCUGGCGGCAGGCCUAACACAUGCAAGUCGAGCGGCAGCACGGGUAGCAAUACCUGGUGGCGAGCGGCGGACGGGUGAGGAAUACAUCGGAAUCUGCCUUGUCGUGGGGGAUAACGUAGGGAAACUUACGCUAAUACCGCAUACGACCGAGAGGUGAAAGCGGGGGAUCGCAAGACCUCGCGCGACAAGAUGAGCCGAUGUCGGAUUAGCUAGUUGGCGGGGUAAGAGCCCACCAAGGCGACGAUCCGUAGCUGGUCUGAGAGGAUGAUCAGCCACACUGGAACUGAGACACGGUCCAGACUCCUACGGGAGGCAGCAGUGGGGAAUAUUGGACAAUGGGCGCAAGCCUGAUCCAGCCAUGCCGCGUGGGUGAAGAAGGCCUUCGGGUUGUAAAGCCCUUUUGUUGGGGACGAAAUCGUACGGGCGAAUAUCCCGUGCGGAUGACGGUACCCAAAGAAUAAGCACCGGCUAACUUCGUGCCAGCAGCCGCGGUAAUACGAAGGGUGCAAGCGUUACUCGGAAUUACUGGGCGUAAAGCGUGCGUAGGCGGUUUGUUAAGUCCGUUGUGAAAGCCCUGGGCUCAACCUGGGAAUUGCAGUGGAUACUGGCGAGCUAGAGUGCGGUAGAGGAUGGUGGAAUUCCCGGUGUAGCGGUGAAAUGCGUAGAGAUCGGGAGGAACACCCGUGGCGAAGGCGGCCAUCUGGACCAGCACUGACGCUGAGGCACGAAAGCGUGGGGAGCAAACAGGAUUAGAUACCCCCGUAGUCC
rnacentral:rRNA from 1 species